GCGGGCGUAGCCAAGUGGUAAGGCAAUGGAUUGUGACUCCAUUAUUCGCGGGUUCGAACCCCGUCGUUCGCC
rnacentral:tRNA from 2 species